rnacentral:rRNA from 1 species
UGGGGAAUAUUGGACAAUGGGCGAAAGCCUGAUCCAGCCAUGCCGCGUGUGUGAAGAAGGUCUUCGGAUUGUAAAGCACUUUAAGUUGGGAGGAAGGGCAGUAAGCGAAUACCUUGCUGUUUUGACGUUACCGACAGAAUAAGCACCGGCUAACUCUGUGCCAGCAGCCGCGGUAAUACAGAGGGUGCAAGCGUUAAUCGGAAUUACUGGGCGUAAAGCGCGCGUAGGUGGUUCGUUAAGUUGAAUGUGAAAGCCCCGGGCUCAACCUGGGAACUGCAUCCAAAGCUGGCGAGAUAGAGUAGGGCAGAGGGUGGUGGAAUUUCCUGUGUAGCGGUGAAAUGCGUAGAUAUAGGAAGGAACACCAGUGGCGAAGGCGACCACCUGGGCUCAUACUGACACUGAGGUGCGAAAGCGUGGGGAGCAAACAGG